UAAAAAGCCUCAAGUAAAAUUUAAAAGAAAAAUAUAUUCAGCAGAUAGGAGUAUUUGAUUUACUUCUUUUGAGUGCCAUAAUAUUAUAGAAAACACAAUAGGCGCUAAAGAUAAAAUCACGCAUUCCUGCAUCGAAUUAAUUUCCAUUGUCUUAAAGCUUAAUUUCAACAUUCUUCAACAUAAAGAUUCUCAGAAAUAAGACCUUGGCAUCACACACAAUAUCGAUCUAACUGGUUUAAUUUAGAUGGAUUAUCUGCAGUUGGCACCUUAGAACAAUGAAAGUGCAUUGAUACAUUUUUUUAAUGUUUUCAGGUUGACACAUAAUGAUUAGGACAUUAUAUUGCACAAUUCCCAAGUCCUACUAGAUAAGGAUUCUAUUCAAUUAAUACAAUUCAAUAAAAGAUUCUUCUUGACAUUGCCUUUAAUGCAUAUUAUCAAUUUCGAAGCAACAAAAAUUGGCGAUCUACAAUGACAUAAUUUUCUUAAAAAAAAUUCAAGGUUGUACAAGAUAUAAGACUUGAGUAGUACAAGUUAGAAGAAUUAUUUGAGAUCAGUUAGUUAUGUUAAAUUAAAUAGGUAAAACAUAAAAAUCCUAGAAGGCCAGUACAACAUCAUGAAUGAUUUUCAAUAAGAUGAAUUCAUGUUGGAACAGUUCAUAUUUAUCUAAUCCUGAACAGCAAUGAAUGAAAUAAAGAUAUGCCAACUAUG